rnacentral:rRNA from 1 species
GACGAUCCAUAGCUGGUCUGAGAGGAUGAUCAGCCACACUGGGACUGAGACACGGCCCAGACUCCUACGGGAGGCAGCAGUGGGGAAUCUUGCGCAAUGGGCGAAAGCCUGACGCAGCAACGCCGCGUGGGGGAUGAAGGCUCUCGGGUUGUAAACCCCUUUCAGCAGGGACGAACCAAGACGGUACCUGCAGAAGAAGCCCCGGCUAACUACGUGCCAGCAGCCGCGGUAACACGUAGGGGGCAAGCGUUGUCCGGAUUUAUUGGGCGUAAAGAGCUCGUAGGUGGCUGAGUAAGUCGGAUGUCAAAUCCCCAGGCUCAACCUGGGAUCCCAUCCGAUACUGCUCUGGCUAGAGUCCGGUAGGGGAGCGUGGAAUUCCUGGUGUAGCGGUGAAAUGCGCAGAUAUCAGGAGGAACACCAGCGGCGAAGGCGGCGCUCUGGGCCGGUACUGACACUGAGGAGCGAAAGCGUGGGUAGCAAACAGGAUUAGAUACCCUGGUAGUCCACGCCGUAAACGUUGGGCACUAGGUGUGGGACCUAUUCAACGGGUUCCGUGCCGUAGCUAACGCAUUAAGUGCCCCGCCUGGGGAGUACGGCCGCAAGGCUAAAACUCAAAGGAAUUGACGGGGGCCCGCACAAGCGGCGGAGCAUGUUGCUUAAUUCGAGGCAACGCGAAGAACCUUACCUAGGCUUGACAUGUAUGGAAAAGCCGCAGAGAUGCGGUGUCCUUCGGGGUCAUACACAGGUGGUGCAUGGUUGUCGUCAGCUCGUGUCGUGAGAUGUUGGGUUAAGUCCCGCAACGAGCGCAACCCUUGUCCUAUGUUGCCAGCGGGUAAUGCCGGGGACUCGUAGGAGACUGCCGGGGUCAACUCGGAGGAAGGUGGGGACGACGUCAAAUCAUCGUGCCCCUUAUGUCUAGGGCUGCAAACAUGCUACAAUGGCCGGUACAAAGGGCUGCGAAACCGCGAGGUGGAGCGAAUCCCAUAAAGCCGGUCUCAGUUCGGAUUGGAGUCUGCAACUCGACUCCAUGAAGCUGGAGUUGCUAGUAAUCCCGGAUCAGCAACGCCGGGGUGAAUACGUUCCCGGGCCUU